rnacentral:tRNA from 1 species
GGCUCGUUGGUCUAGGGGUAUGAUUCUUGCUUAGGGUGCAUGAGGUCCCGGGUUCAAAUCCCGGACGAGCCC